rnacentral:lncRNA from 1 species
UUCUGCAGCGUGGAGGGAAAGAUCUGGUAGAAGAUAUAAAGUGGAGCUAAGCUUAUUAGUCCAUAUAUGCAUUUGUAUAUGUUUGACUCUGGUUUUCUCUGUGUAAUUUCUUACAACAUAUCAAUGUUAAGAAGGAAAUGCACUUAACUUUUUAAUACAGAUGUAUACAUCCAUAAAUCUACUUUAUUUACAAACAUCAUUUUUUGUAUGUAAAUAAAUGAGAUUAUUACAAUUAUUUUUUUCAAGGCUUAACAACUGAGUGUAUGUACUAUUAACUAAGAAUCAAUUUAUUUAGUUUGUUCUAUUUUUCUAUAUGUGCAUACUAAUGAAACAAAUGUAAAUAAAUUAAAACUGUUCUUAAAGAGUAAAUGUUUUCAUCUCAGCAUGUGUGGAGAUUGUUUCACAGUCUUUACUGUUUUUUUAAGAUAUUAUUUUUGGUGGCAGAUACUUUUGCAUUGUUAGAGAAACAAAUCUGUAGGUGAGUAAGAAGUCAAAAUGUUAGAAUAUAGUUUUGUCUUUUAACAUUAAACACUGGGGUAGCAACACAAAGUGAAAACAGCUGAUGACAAGCAUAACAUUUCUGCAAAAUCCAUUGAGGUCAAUGCAAAAAAGAAUACAAAAGUAAUAUAUAUUAUAUAUAUAGUAGUAUAUAUCAUCAGAGCAUCAUUGGUGAUACAUUAUCGUGUAUAGCUGAUUCAUUUGGAGCCAGUUUAUGUUUCUAUGUGUCUGUCUCCUGGUGGUCUGACUGAUUUGUAACUGCAUAAUCCCACUGAAGUAAUCAGAGAAUAAAAACUGUAGUAUUUCCUCUUAACUGUUUUGGAGGAUGUAUUAAUACGCUGAUGAGUAAAUUGACUUGUAUCCCACCACUGCAGCUCUGACAGGCUGUUCCUCUGAUCCCCUGUUUUCCUAAAGCGAGUCGUUUCCUCAGCUACAGCCGCCGAGAGCACAUCUUCAAAGGGGGGUGAGACGGAGCACCGGCAGGAGGGGGCGGAGCCUGGAGGGGCUCAAGACGCGCAGCCUAUCAUAGACUGUGUCACAACUGAGAAUGCUGCUUACCUGUGCGCCAAAACUCUGACAGCCUUUCGCCUCACCUGGACCGUCUGCGAUGGAGAAAAGCAGAUGAAAUAUGAUGAGGAUUUUACUUUUCUGCGCGCAUUUUUCCAACAAGGGCAAGAGCAGCGGAGCAGAGCCGAGACAGAGUUUACUUCCAAAAGAAAAUCACAGCGGCAGCACCUCUGUAGGGCGGACAGGUUUUUAAUGCGUCACCAUCCUGUCAUGUGGUAAUCAUCUCAGUGUAACCCAAAAGACACUGAACAACACUUUGAGCAGGUGACCUCAUCCACAGAUUUG